GCCAGGUGUGGUGGUGCAUGCCUGUAAUCCCAGCAGCUCAGAGGCUGAGGCAGGAGGAUCAUGAGUUCAAAGCUAGCCCCAGCAAUUAGUGAGGCGCUAAGCAACUUCGUGAGACCCUGUCUCUA
rnacentral:sRNA from 1 species